rnacentral:sRNA from 1 species
UCAACAAAUGUUCACAAUUGACUUCCAC